ensembl:lncRNA
CCACCCACCAUCCUGACCCUCCUAGAAGGUACACCAUACCACAGCACCCGACAUAGCUGACCACCCACCAUCCUGACCCUCCUAGAAGGUACAACAUACCACAGCAUCCACUAUACUGACCAUCCUGACCCUCCUAGAUGGUACAACAUACCACAGCACCCACUAUACUGACCCUCCUAGAAGGUACAACAUACCACAGCACCCACUAUACUGACCAUCCUAGAAGGUACAACAUACCACAGCACCCACUAUACUGACCCUCCACUAUACUGACCCUCCUAGAAGGUACAACAUACCACAGCACCCACUAUACUGACCCUCCUAGAAGGUACAACAUACCACAGCACCCAAUAUAACUGACCAUCCACUAUACUGACCCUCCUAGAAGGUACAACAUACCACAGCACCCACUAUACUGACCAUCCUGACCCUCCUAGAAGGUACAACAUACCACAGCACCCACUAUACUGACCAUCCUGACCCUCCUAGAAGGUACAACAUACCACAGCACCCACCAUCCUGACCCUCCUAGAAGGUACAACAUACCACAGCACCCACUAUAACUGACCACCCACCAUCCUGACCCUCCUAGAAGGUACACCAUACCACAGCACCCACUAUACUGACCCUCCUAGAAGGUACAACAUACCACAGCACCCACUAUAACUGACCCUCCUAGAAGGUACAACAUACCACAGCACCCACUAUACUGAGCCUCCUAGAAGGUACAUCAUACCACAGCACCCACUAUACUGACCCUCCUAGAAGGUACAACAUACCACAGCACCCACUAUACUGACCCUCCUAGAAGGUACACCAUACCACAGCACCCACUAUACUGAGCCUCCUAGAAGGUACAACACACCACAGUACCCACUAUACUGACCCUCCUAGAAGGUACAACAUACCACAGCACCCACUAUACUGACCCUCCUAGAAGGUACAACAUACCACAGCACCCAC